rnacentral:rRNA from 1 species
CACGUAGGGGGCAAGCGUUGUCCGGAUUUAUUGGGCGUAAAGAGCUCGUAGGCGGCUCGGUAAGUUGGGGUGUUAAACCCCCAGGCUUAACCUGGGGACCGCCACCCGAUACUGCCGUGGCUAGAGUCCGGUAGGGGAGCGUGGAAUUCCUGGUGUAGCGGUGAAAUGCGCAGAUAUCAGGAGGAACACCAGCGGCGAAGGCGGGCGCUCUGGGCCGGAACUGACGCUGAGGAGCGAAAGCGUGGGUAGCA